rnacentral:rRNA from 1 species
UACGUAGGGUGCAAGCAUUAUCCGGAGUGACUGGGCGUAAAGAGUUGCGUAGGUGGUUAUGUAAGCGAAUAGUGAAAUUUGACGGCUCAACCGUACAAACUAUUAUUCGAACUGCAUAACUCGAGAAUGGUAGAGGUAACUGGAAUUUCUAGUGUAGGAGUGAAAUCCGUAGAUAUUAGAAGGAACACCAAUGGCGUAGGCAGGUUACUGGACCAUUUCUGACACUGAGGCACGAAAGCGUGGGGAGCGAACCGG